rnacentral:lncRNA from 1 species
GGUAAGAAUAGUAGUUUGAGAUUAAUGAUGUAUGUUUUAUACGAAUGAAUUAGUAGGCUUGAUGUGAUUUGUGAAAGAGCCUAGGUUGAUAAUUUAUGAAGAUUUAAGUGGUAAUUUUGAGGUAUAUGUUUAUAUGAGGACUAGUGUUAAAAUAAUGAAUGGUUGGUGAGUCAUUAAGUGGAUAAGGGAGUAAGUAUAUAAGAAUGAGUUGUACCCCAC